rfam:Triticum aestivum genome assembly, contig: Triticum_aestivum_CS42_TGACv1_scaffold_064526_1DL
AAAGUACUCCCUCCAUCCCAAAAUUCUUGUCUUAGAUUUGUCUAGAUACGGAUGUAUCAAGUCACAUUUUAGUAAGAUACAUCUGUAUCUAGACAAAUCUAAGACAAGAAAAUUUGGACAGAGGGAGUAGUUG